GACGAACGCUGGCGGCGUGCUUAACACAUGCAAGUCGAACGGGUCUGCCCUGUUUUUUGCGGGGUGGGUCAGUGGCGAACGGGUGAGUAACACGUGAGUAACCUGCCCCUCACUUCUGGAUAACCGCUUGAAAGGGUGGCUAAUACGGGGUGUUCUGGCUGUGCCGCAUGGUGUGGCUGGGAAAGAUUCACUUUUGUGGUGUUUUGGUGGGGGAUGCGCUCGCGGCCUAUCAGCUUGUUGGUGGGGGGAUGGCCUGCCAAGGCUUUGACGGGUAGCCGGCCUGAGAGGGUGGGCGGUCACACUGGGACUGAGAUACGGCCCAGACUCCUGCGGGAGGCAGCAGUGGGGGGUAUUGCACAAUGGGCGGAAGCCUGAUGCAGCGACGUCGCGUGAGGGAUGGAGGCCUUCGGGUUGUGAACCUCUUUCGCCGGUGAAGAAGGUCCUGCUCUUUGUGGUGGGGUUGACGGUAGCCGGGUUAUGAAGCGCCGGCUAACUACGUG
rnacentral:rRNA from 1 species